rnacentral:rRNA from 1 species
AGUAAAAGUCGUAACAAGGUUUCCGUAGGUGAACCUGCGGAAGGAUCAUUAAAGUAUCUCUGGCGGGGGAGUGAGCCUCGCUCCGGUCCUAACCGGCCGUUGCAGCGGGCGAGCGACCCGUCCAAACCUUCACAAACCCUCUGUGCACUUCAACGGUGGAAGGAGCCCGUGCGAGAGCUCGGGCUUCUGAAGCCGCUACCCAACAAACCCCAAUCUUUAAAGAAUGUAUUGCGGCCAUCGUGUCGCCUAACAAACGAAACAACUUUCAACAACGGAUCUCUUGGCUCUCGCAUCGAUGAAGAACGCAGCGAAAUGCGAUAAGUAAUGUGAAUUGCAGAAUUCAGUGAAUCAUCGAAUCUUUGAACGCACCUUGCGCUCCUUGGUAUUCCGAGGAGCAUGCCUGUUUGAGUGUCUUGAAGUCAUCAACCCCGACCGUUUUUGCAACGGGCGUGGGCUUGGAGCUGGGGGACUUUUGCCGCCGCAAGGCCGGCUCCCCUCAAAUGCGUCGGUUGGGCCUGCUGGUCAAACUCGACUGGGCGUUGUACCAUCCUCGCUCCAUCGAGACAGAUCGGCGACCGUGCCCCGCUUGGACCGCCUCUUCUUCAGGGUGGUGGUCAAUAAGCAUUUUUGAAAUCUGACCUCAAAUCAGGUAGGACUACCCGCUGAACUUAAGCAUAUCAAUAAGCGGAGGAAAAGAAACUAACAAGGAUUCCCCUAGUAACUGCGAGUGAAGCGGGAAAAGCUCAAAUUUCAAAUCUGACGGUUACGCCGUCCGAGUUGUAUUCUGGAGAAGCGUCUUCCGCGC